ACAUCCACCUUGAAGGAGAGACCUAAACUUUUAAAUCCUCCAAAAAUCUCCAAACUCUUCUUCAAUCUCCUCGAAAUCCACCUUGGAAUAGAGUUUCUAGAGAGAGAGAUGGGGAGAAAUGAGUGUAGGAGGGGAGUUCACAGUUGCUGUGAAGAAAGGCGUGUUGGGGGUAUUUAUAGGUUGCUGUAAUAGCAAAUAGG
rnacentral:lncRNA from 1 species